GUUAUAUGGUCAAAUAUGACAGCUUCUGCUGCAGAUCUGAUUAAGUUGUGAUUUUUGGCUUUUCUUUUUUUUCUGUUUUUUACAAACAUUCCUGUCGCCAUGAAUGAAGGAAAAGCAAGACAACUGAAAUGGGAAUGGGUUUGUCAAGUUCCCAAAAGGACACUCGUUAAACAUCACAUGAUCCCUCAGGAAACGGUGGACCAUCCUCUUAAAUUUCAGUCUUCUGCAAUUGUUAAUCGAGGUCUUAAAAAAACCUCUGACUCUUCUUCAAAGGAUCUUAAACCAGUUCUCAAUGAUCCCUUACUUAAUGCAGUAGACGAUGUAGACCCUUUAACAGCCUUGGCAGCAGAACAGAAUUGGUACGAUAUGGAGGAAAAGCCGGAAAAAAAUAAAAAAUCCAACUCUAUGAAUGGCUGGAAUGAACAGUGCCAUGAGAUUUUAAAUAAAUACAUAACAACAAAAAAACUUUCCAUGGCCACAGGAAUAAUAUCUAUGAUGGAUAAAAGGGGAAAAGUGCCUAACGCUGCAAGAGAUGCACUAAAAAAUCAGCCGAAUCUAGGAAUGAAAAACAGACUCGAACAGUUGGACGAUUUGGAAGAAGUCGAUUCCAAAGAGAUGUCUCUUCUCACGCAACAAGAGUACAUUGAUAACAUUAACGAUUUGAAGAAUGAAAUCGUGCAAGCCUGGCAGCAGCAUUUUAGGGUUAAAGCCCUCAAAAUUACAAUUCAGUGCUCAAAAUUAUUAGUCGAUACAAGCGUCGUUCAGUUUUACCCAAACAAAUUUGUUUUAAUAACUAACACUCUGGACACCUUUGGUAAUCUUGUGUACGAGAGGCUUUGGAACAAAUCUGAAAAUCAACAGGAAAUUGGAUCGUCUUCAGAAAGUGUCUCCUCAACUACAGUGACGGAGUCAACGAAAGAGACUUGCCGUAAUUGGUUUUAUAAGAUCGCCUCUAUUAGAGAGUUGAUUCCUAGAUUGUACGUUGAAGCAGCCAUACUUAAAUCCUAUUGCUUUCUCAGUGAUAAUGAGUUUUCCAGUUCUCUUAAAAGACUGAUGAUGAUGACAAGAGGCAUCGGGGAUCCCCUCGUGUCAAUAUAUGCCAGAUGUUACCUGUGUAAAAUAGGGAUUUCAUCGAAUAACAUCAAUAGGAAACUCAUGAGGGAAAAUUUCAUGGAUUUCUUACAAAUGUACUGUCAGUUAUUUAGUACGACUGCAUUGAAUGAAGUCAGUAAGCAAAAAAUAGACAUGCCAACAUACCUCAACUCAUUCAUCCCAGCGAUCGAUUGGAUGCUGAAUGCUGCGAUUCGCAACAUUGAUGAGCCUGAACUUGAUGAGCUGGUCGAUAGCUGUUGCAAAAUGCUCAAUAAAGGUCUUCUGUUAAACUCAAUUUUGAGAACAUGUGAUGCUUCUUAUAUAGCAAAACGAGAGUCGUUUUUUAUGCAGCAGAUCACUUCAAGCACUGAUGACUUUUUUCCAUUCCAUAUUACUUUGAAGUGUAUGGGAGAAAAGUUACGUGGUAAAAUUGUUUCAAAUCCUGAGACUAUUUUUGAAGAUGCUUGGAAACUUAUAUCCCAGCUUUCCAAUUCAAACACAUAUUUUUCAUGCAUUUUAGCAUGGAAUUACUUUAUUGUCAAGUUCUGUUCACUUACCAAACUCAAUUCAUUGUUGGAAGAUAUAAUAAGCCAUUUUGGAACUGGGUCAAAAGCUCAUUGCCCCCUUUUGCAUGAAAUCAUCAUGUCUAUCGUGGAAAAUAUACCCAACUUGGAAGUUUUGUUUACCCUAGACAAAUUCCUACCGCUUCUUGAUCUCUUUGGAAAUGAUGAUCUUAAGAUCGUAACAUCGAAGAAAAUCCUUGAUUUGUUUGCAGCUAUGCCUAACAAAUUUAAAAUUACUGAUCCUGUUACAACCGAUGCUUUGAUAUUUUUGGCCAAAAUCCUCCAUGACUCUAUUAAUAUACUUUCAGUUGAUGAUGAAAAGCGUCAGAUUGGAAAUUUGAUUUCCCAGAUUAUAAUGAAAAUCGACUUUGGCAUGAAAAUGGAGUCUCAGCUUAGUUUUUACGUUGAAGCAAGGGCUACGUUUACCAACUUGGACACAGUUGUCGUCACACUUAUUCAUAGUGUUAAUAAAUUGGCGAUGGAAAUGGGUAAAAAAGUCAAAAGCCAUCAUACGAGGAAAACAGCUUCGUUCGUCCAUGCCUGUGCGGCUUAUUCCUUCAUAACGAUACCGUCAAUAAGAUCAGAAAUAACCAAGUUGCAGCUUUAUUUACUCACAGCUCAAAUAGCCCUUUUCAACCAGUGCCUUGGCCAAGCUGAUGCUUGUAUAAAAAGUGCGCUUUCUUUAAUACUGGAGCUGCCGCAGAAUGUUGAAGAAGUUGACGGCAAGAGUAAAUCAAAUGAACCCUUUCUUCAAGAAUAUGUUCAGAACAUGUUAUCCACACUUAUUAUUUUGCCUGACUGCCCGGAACAAGGAAUUCUAUAUCUUACUAGAGGGCUUGUUAAUAUUAUUCAGCAGUACUCCGAUGAUAAUAACUUAUUUGUAAUAACAAACCUAUACUUGAACGUAUUAGACAUGCUUGCCACAGUCGCUCAGGAAGAUUACCCUUACCAUGUCAAAAAAAGUUGAUUCAAAUGAUGUCCUUUAUGGGAGCGACCCUAAGUUUAUAGCUGAGAUCAAUAAAAUGUGUUGUGUUAUAAUUGACCAAGUCUUAUCGAAUCUCCAGGCACUUGGGACUCGCGGGGAAUUGAAGAAGCAAGCUCAAUUGUCAUUUAGCCUGUUCCUGAGAAUUAUGACUCAUGCUGAUCUUGAAGCCAAGGGAAUCGCUAUGUUGGCCCAACAGUUGUGGCUCCUGGCUCAUAAAAAUGGAAACAUAGAUUCAAAGCUAUCG
rnacentral:misc_RNA from 1 species